CGAAACUUUAGGCGGUCUUCUGAAUGGUUUGCACUCUGGUCUCACUUUACUCGAACGUCUUGGAUUUUGGUCUCAUCUUGCUCGAAUAGCCUGCGGCCUGGUCUUGUACUUGUUGUAUCGAAUUGCUAAUUUGACUAGUACUGCUGAUCGUGCUGUCCCAAAACACUUGUCAAGAUUCUACUAUGUGUUGCAUUGAGAAGCCAAUGCCAAGAACCUAAAUGUAAUAUGGGAGAAAUUCAUUUAUCAAUUGUGAGGAAUUAAGACCAGAGUGAAGUGACCGGCAACCGAUGAACCUCAUUGUCAUGUUUGGGCGUCUUAAACUUCUGGCCACUGAUGACUUCGAGGUCUUUUGUUGUUAUAAAAAU